GAUGAACGCUGGCGGCGUGCUUAAUACAUGCAAGUCGAACGGAGAGGCGCCUACCUUGCUGCUGGGAGUGUAUCAGUGGAGAACGGGGGAGUAACACGAGAGCCACCCGAUACCUUCUUCUGAACUACCGCAUGCCAGUGUGGCUAAUACGGGAUGUUUUGAGCCUGUCGGUUGAUAGGUCUGGGACAGACUUUCUUUCGCUGGGAGAUGGGCCCGCGGCCCAUUAGCUUGUUGGUAAGGUAAUGGCUUACCAAGGCAACGACGCAUAGCCGACCUGAGAGGGUGAUCGGCCACACUGGAGCUGAGACACGGUGCAGACUCCUACGGGCGGCAGCAGUAGGGAAUCUUCCGCAAUGGGCGAAAGCCUGACGGAGCAACGCCGCGUGAGUGAUGAAGGUCUUCGGAUCGUAAAACUCUGUUAUUAGGGAAGAACAUAUGUGUAAGUAACUGUGCACAUCUUGACGGUACCUAAUCAGAAAGCCACGGCUAACUACGUG
rnacentral:rRNA from 1 species